UAAAACGUAGGAGGCAAGCGUUAUCCGGAUUUACUGGGCGUAAAGGGCGUGCAGGUGGUGGUGUAAGUGGUGCGUGAAAGCGCUCGGCUCAACCGGGCGAGGCCGUGCCAAACUGCACGACUAGAAACAGGCAGAGGCAAGUGGAAUUCCGGGUGUAGUGGUGAAAUGCGUAGAGAUCCGGAGGAACUCCUGUGGCGAAGGCGACUUGCUGGGCCUGCUUUGACACUCAGACGCGAAAGCAUGGGGAGCGAACGGGAUUAGAAACCCCGGUAGUCCAUGCCGUAAACGAUGUCCACUGGGCGUUUGCCUCGCAAGAGGUGAGUGCCGUAGCUAACGCGCUAAGUGGACCGCCUGGGGAGUACGACCGCAAGGUUA
rnacentral:rRNA from 1 species